UAAGGAUAGUGUCGUCCGCAUAACGCAAG
rnacentral:sRNA from 1 species